UGUAUUAAAUAACCACCGGAUUAAAUAAUCCGGGCCCACCUCCUUUAUACGGUGAACACCCGUUUCCUUAUCCCUCUAAAAGCACGGGACAAUUUAGUCGGAACGCACUCUCGCUCUCUCCUUCUCCUGAGAACGCACUCUCGCUCUCUCCUUCCUCUCCAGACGAUACAAGAAAAUCUCUCGGUCUCUCCUUCCUCUCCAGAUGCACCGCUCCCAGCUUUAAGUGGUGGGACUAAGUAAAUGAAACGCUGGCUAGUUUCACUUCAGUGGUGUGUUGAUCCUUCCAUGACACUUACUUCAAUGGUUUGUAGCAAAAGCUUUGUCUUCGUUUUGUUGUUUGUCUUGUUAGGCUUUCAAAUCUUGUUCCUUUUAAGCUUUUUUAGUUAUUUUAUUCAUUGCAUUUAUCAGAUUUUAAGUGGGGUUGUCUAGGUUUUGUUUGUUAAAUUUCUCUUAUUGGUUGUUUGGACUUAUGUUUGCGACAUUAAUGCAUCUUGCCUUUAUGAUUGCAGGAAAUAUUUGUUUUGUUGAUGCUCCCUGUGUUUGUUGGUGUUUAAGGAGAAAGCAAAGCAGAGGGAAGAGUUUGCAAAGCAGCAGCAUGCAUAUAUUUUGGCUAUCUGGACAAACUGUUUCUUAGUGAAACCAACUUGCAUUUGUAUAUUUUAUGAACUUGGAUAUGUGGUUGGAUUAAUCUAUAUAACGUAAUGACUUGUAGUUGUUUUUUGUGAACCUUCUUUUAUGUUAUUGGAAAAUAUUUUGAAUUUGAUGUA